UGGGCGGCUUGGAGUGAUGGAGGUGCGGCGUCUUCUUUUAGGUGGCGGCGCAGCGUCUACUUCGAGGCAGUGGUACGUCUUCUUGGCCCUGUGGUCUGUGCUUUGUCUCGAUUACAGGAACAAGCAUUGCUCUUUAGUGCACAACACUUAAAUGUGCUUUUGACAAAAGAAGACAUCCCCAGAGUUGGGCUCGAGUCAUGGUUUGUGCUGUUCCUCUCAGACAUGGUUGUGUUCUCUUCUCGAUGUUUGUAUUCCAGAAUGGAUGUCUCUUGGUUGUAUUUUAAACUUUCAAGUUAAUUUUAAUGUAGUUUAUUGUUUUAAAUUGAGUUUUGCUACAUUAAAUUUGUAUACACUCGCAAGGGAUUGUGGGUAUUUUAGUUCUGAGGGAUGAGAGCCUAAGGAAUCAAUCUUCCUGUUACAGCAAAGGAUUGUGGGUAAAACCGUGAGUGAGUGAGGUACUUCCUUUCUGGCACGAGAGCCUUGGGAAUCAAUCUCCCUGUUGUAGCAAAGGAUUGUGGUUAAAACCGUGAGUGAGGGAGGUACAUUUUUCCUGGCAUGAGAACCUCAGGAGUCAGUCCUUCCUAAGAAAAAAGAGGGGAGGGGGGAAGAAAAACAAAAGCACAGGAACCCUAAAAUAAAAUAAAAUAAAAUAAAAUAAGAUAAUAUAAAACAAUUAAAAAAAUAAAAAAAUAAAAGAAGAACAAAAGUGGAUUGCAAAAGGGAAAGGGGAAGAAAAAAGGAAAAAAAGAAGUGUCAAGAGCAAAUAGCAAAAAUCAGAAGUGAGCUUAGAAACAGAGAACAGUUCCCUAAAAGAAAGACAGAAAUGUAAAUUUGAUCAAUGUCCUAAGGGAAAAUCUGUACGUGUGUGUGUGUGUUCUUUUUUGCUAACUUAGUCUGGUGUCACUGAUGGUCAGUUAUUGAUAAGUAUUUAUUAUUUAAAUUUUUGAUGAAGUUGUUUGUAGUGGGGUUAGCUGGCUAAUUUUAGAGUGUUAAAAAAGAUGUUAGAAGGGGAGGAUUUAGGGGGCACGGCGGUUCCCCUUCAGGUCUCUCUUAAUCCUCCAUAUAGGUGACCCAACAGGGGUUACCCCCCGGCCGGGGUAGGCCUAGGCUGAAGAUCACCUAUUUGUCCUCUGUGAAGGUGACAAUAAAGGGGCAGGGGAGGGAAUAAGAAAGAGGGGGGGGGGGUGUUAGAGAGAGGGGGAGAGAUGAGGGAGAGAGAUGAGGGAGAGAGAGAGAGAGAGAGAGAGAGAGAGAGUGUGUGUGUGUGUGUGUGUGUGUGUGUGUGUGUGUGUGUGUGUGUGUGUGUGUGUGUGUGUGUGUGUGUGUGUGUGAGAGAGAGGGAGAGGGGGGUUUAAGGGAGAGGUGGAGAUGGUGGAAAAUAAAGAUUGGUGAGGGGGAUUUGGUGGCGGAUGAAACAUCCCAUAGCUCCCCAGCUCUCACCAUCCAUGUGAGGAGAGUGAGCAAGGGACAUAGUCCCCCGACCCGACUAGGUCUAGGCUGUAAACGUGGAAGUGAGAGUUCUCUAGGCAGAGUUUUGGGUUUGGUUUGAGCUGAGUUGGUCAGUUGAUUAUUGAUUACUAUUUUAAGUUCUAAAAGUGGAUAGAGUCAAAAAGUCACAGAGGAUUGUGGUGGGAGCAGGUGGUCCGUCUGGCACCAUUCUGCUCAUGCAGGGAUUCGAGUGAUAGAAAGAGAAUAGAUCUUGCCACCGUGACUCGCCAUUGAGACUCUCCUCACCUUCUGGUUUUCAUCCUCUGAUAGGAGAGAGAGGUACAGGUCAGGAGAGAGGGAGAAAAGGAGGGAGGCAGGGUGGGGUCAGGAGUUAAUUUGUCUUGAAAAGUAUUUAUCUUUUCGUAAUUGCUGUUAGGGUUUAGAUGUUUCUUGUUUAGUUAUUUGGGGAAUGUAGUGUUAGUAUAGGUUCCAAGGUGGAGGAUUCUUUGGAAUUCACUCUCACCCUUGAAACUGGAAGAUCUUAGAUUCUAUAAAGGGGGUGGGGGAGGGGGGGGUUAGAGGUCGUGUGCACAGAAGGAGCAUGGGCUUAGACUAUUCUCAGAAUGAUAUUGUGACAAGUCUGUCCGAAGGCAAUUGGCAGGUUAGGUGUGGGUAAGAGAUACAGUGAUAGCCCCCGCUUUCGUCGGUUGACUUGGCAGUUUGGGGUAGGCUGAUCAAGGGCUUGAACUGGCCGGCGCAUGUCAACCUGUCACAUGUUCCAGUCGAGUCUACUAGCUCAAUCUGUGUGUAAAAAUUAUGUGUUAGUAGAAAGUUUAAUGACUCAGCUCAGUUGGUAUGCUAUGCUGUCUAUCUUUUAGACUAUGUGUUUGUAGAGCAAUAUUAUGUAUAUAUUAUGUUACAGGGCUAGGAAAAGGUCAAAGGUUUUUGGCGUUAGGGUUAAAAUCACUGUCCAAAACCUUUUUAGGAACAUGUUUCAGACCUUUUGGAGUUGGUUACACCAAAAAAAAAAUGUAAAAUGAAAAAAAAGUAUUUGGGGUGUUCGGGCUUCCUGAAGGUAAUUAGGUUAUGGGGCUAUGGUUAAAAUCAAGUGAGGGUUAAAAUCACUGUCCAAAACCUUUGUAGGAACUCUUUUCCAACCUUUUGGAGUUAGUUAGACCAAAAAAAAAGAAAAAGAAAAAAAAAAUAUUUGGGGUUUUCAGACUUCCUGAAGGAAAUACCCAGGUAUUAGGUUUUUUGGGCUAUGGUAAGGUUAAGGUUUUUGGCAUUAGCGUUAAAAUCACUGUCCAACACCUUUUUAGGAACACGUUUCAGACCUUUUGGAGUUAGUCACACCAAAAAGAAAUGAAAAAUGAACAAAAAUUUUUGGGGUGUUCGGGCUUCCUGAAGAUAAUUCCUGAGUAUUAGGUUAUGGGGCUAAGGUAAGGUUUAAGGUUUUUGGCGAGAGGGUUAAAUCACUGACAAAACCUUUGUAGGAACUCUUUUCCAACCUUUUGGAGUUAGUUAGACCAAAUAAAAAUGAAAAAUAAAAUAAAACUAGGGCCCCGGUGGGGCACUGUCGGGCCCAAGCCGCGUCGCGCCGCCCCCAGCGCGACCACCUCCCCCUCCCGAUCGCGUCACACUCAAGGUCCAAAGAUGGUGUGCGCACUUGUCUGUGGUCAUUUCCCAUUUUAAUGAAUGGGAGGCGCAGUUUCUACCAAAACACUCGCUGCAGACAAACUACAUGUCCUAUUUGAAAAAAGUGUGGACCAUGAGUGAGGGCACAAACACAGCUAGGAUAUAUCCAAACGGCAAGUUGCUCCUCGUUACGGUGUUGCCGGGAGAGCGAUGCGAUUGAGCCAUUGAGUGAUGGGCAGGAAAAACUUGACUGUUUCUCCUGCCAUGGGGGAUGGGGGAUGGGGGAUGGGGGGGGGAUGUGGAUUCUUUUAAGAAUGUGGAUAUUUGGGUCAUCUUUGGCGCCCCCUAGAACGUAAAGUGUGGGGUGCAGCGUCACGAUUUUUACAACUUUGAAUGGCCAUGGGGUGUAGAUUGGCCUGAGCAAAUGUGGUGCCGGUGGACAGAAAGCCUUCGGAGGAGUUAGCGAAAUUCCAAUGUGUGCGGAUCGGCAAAAAAUGCGGAAUAACCCUUUAACCGUACAUUUGACAGAUACGCGCGCAUUGACUUUUUCAUAGAUCUUAUUGAGAUACAUGUGUGUGUCGGAUUUUGUGUCAUUUUGCCAUAGCGUACAGGCGUGACACUCAACAAUGUGUAUUUUCACCUUAGGGGACAAGAAAAAAUGGACUUUUUUCUCCUGCCAUGGGGGGGCGCUCUUUUGGGGAGUGAAAAUUCCUUCACAAAUGUGUUGAUGGCUGGACAUUGCAUCAUCCUAGAAAACUUGGAGGCCAGUGAGGGCAAAAAUAAAAAGUUAUAAGACUUUUAAAUAUGUGGAUUUUAGGGUUAUCUUUGGCGCCCCCUAGAACCUAAACCGUGGGGUGCAGCGUCAUGAUUUGAAUAACUUUUAAUGGCCAUGGGGUGUAGAUUGGCCUGAGCAAAUGUGGUGCCGGUGGAACGAAAGCCUUCAAAGGAGUUAGCGAAAUUCCAAUGUGUGCGGAUCGGCAAAAAAUGCAAAAUAACCCUUUAACCGUACAUUUGACAGAUACGCCCGCACUGACUUUUUUGUAGAUCUUAUUGAGAUACAUGUGUGUGUCAAUUUUUGUGUCAUUUUGACAAAGCGUACAGGCCUGACAGUCAAUAGUGUGAAUUUUCACCUUAGGGGGCGCUAUGGAGCCAUUUUGCAUUUUCUUGUUUGGUCGACUUCAGAAUAUCAAAUUUUUCACCAGGCCCGGUCGUCCUGCCAAAUUUCAUGAGUUUUCGCCAGUGGGAAGUGGGCCAUUUUCCAGUUCAAAGGGGAGGAAAAAGAAAAAAGAAACAAAGAAAAACCACUACAGGAAUAAUAGGGCCUCGCAGCUGCCUAGCAUCUACGCUCGGGCCCUAAAUAUUUGGGGUGUUCGAGCUUCCUGAAGGUAAUACCAGGGUAUUUGGUUUUGGGGCUUUGGAAAGGUUUAAGGUUUUUGGCGUUAGGGUUAAAAUCACUUUUCAAAACCUUUUUAGGAACACGUUUCAGACCUUUUGGAGUUGGUUACACUAAAAAAAAUGUAAAAAGAAAAAAAAAAUAUUUCUGGCUUCCUAUUAGGUUAUGGGGCUUUGGAAAGGUUUAAGGUUUUUGGCAUUAGGGUUAGCAUUUGGCAUUAGGGUUAAAAAUCACUGUCCAAAACCUUUGUAGGAACUCUUUUCCAACCUUUUGGAGUUAGUUAGACCAAAAAAAAAGGAAAAAAAAAAAAAUAUUUGGGGUGUUCGGGCUUCCUGAAGGUAAAACCCGUAUUAGGUUAUGGGGCUUUGGAAAGGUUUAAGGUUUUUGCCGUCAGGGUUAAAAUCACUGUCCAAAACCUUUUUAGAAACAUGUUUCAGAACUUUUGGAGUUGGUUACACCAAAUAAAAAUGUAAAAUGAAAAAAAAGUAUUUGGGGUGUUUGGGCUUCCUGAAGGUAAUUAGGUUAUGGGGCUAUGGUUAAAAUCAAGUGAGGGUUAAAAUCACUGUCCAAAACCUUUGUAGGAACUCUUUUCCAACCUUUUGGAGUUAGUUAGACCAAAAAAAAAAAAAAAAGAAAAAAAAAAUAUUUGGGGUUUUCAGACUUCCUGAAGGAAAUACCCAGGUAUUAGGUUUUUGGGGCUAUGGUAAGGUUAAGGUUUUUGGCAUUAGCGUUAAAAUCACUGUCCAACACCUUUUUAGGAACACGUUUCAGAACUUUUGGAGUUGGUUACACCAAAAAAAAUGUAAAAUGAAAAAAAAAUAUUUGGGGUGUCAGGCUUCCUGAAGGUAAUACCCGGGUAUUAGGUUAUGGGGCAAGGGAAAGGUUUAAGGUUUUUGGCGUUAGGGAUAUAAUCACUGUCCAAAACCUUUGUAGGAACUCUUUUCCAAGCUUUUGGAGUUAGUCACACCAAAAAGAAAUGAAAAAUGAACAAAAAUUUUUGGGGUGUUCGGGCUUCCUGAAGAUAAUUCCUGAGUAUUAGGUUAUGGGGCUAAGGUAAGGUUUAAGGUUUUUGGCGAGAGGGUUAAAUCACUGACAAAACCUUUGUAGGAACUCUUUUCCAACCUUUUGGAGUUGGUUAGACCAAAAAAAAAGAAAAAUGAAAAAAAAAUAUUUGGGGUUUUCGGGCUUCCUUACGGUAAUACCCGGGUAUUAGGAUAUUGGGCUUUGGAAAGGUUGAAGGUUUUUGGCGUGAGGGUUAAAAUCACUGUCCAAAACCUUUUUAGGAACUCUUUUCCAACCUUUUGGAGUUAGUUAGACCAAAUAAAAAUGAAAAAUAAAAUAAAAAUAUUUGGGGUGUUCGGGCUUCCUGAAGGUAAUACCAGGGUAUUUGGUUUUGGGGCUUUGGAAAGGUUUAAGGUUUUUGGCGUUAGGGUUAAAAUCACUUUUCAAAACCUUUUUAGGAACACGUUUCAGACCUUUUGGAGUUGGUUACACUAAAAAAAAUGUAAAAAGAAAAAAAAAUAUUUCUGGCUUCCUAUUAGGUUAUGGGGCUUUGGAAAGGUUUAAGGUUUUUGGCAUUAGGGUUAGCAUUUGGCAUUAGGGUUAAAAAUCACUGUCCAAAACCUUUGUAGGAACUCUUUUCCAACCUUUUGGAGUUAGUUAGACCAAAAAAAAAGGAAAAAUAAAAAAAAAUAUUUGGGGUGUUCGGGCUUCCUGAAGGUAAAACCCGUAUUAGGUUAAGGGGCUUUGGAAAGGUUUAAGUUUUUGCCACAGGGUUAAAAUCACUGUCCAAAACCUUUUUAGAAACAUGUUUCAGAACUUUUGGAGUUGGUUACACCAAAUAAAUAUGUAAAAUGAAAAAAAAAUAUUUGGGGUGUUCCGGCUUCCACACAGGUAUUAGGUUAUGGGGCUAGGGUAAGGUUUUAGGUUUUUGGCGUUCGAUUAAAAUCACUGUCCAAAUCCUUUGUAGGAACUCUUUUCCAACCUUUUGGAGUUAGUUAGACCAAAAAAAAAAGAAAAAAGAAAAAGAAAUAUUUGGGGUUUUCGGGCUUCCUGAAGGUAAUAAGUAUUAGGUUAUGGGGCUAGAGUAAGGUUUAGAGUUUUGGCGUUAGGUUUAAAAUCACUGUCCAAAACCUUUUUAGGAACAUGUUUCAGACCUUUUGGACUUGGUUACACCAAAAAAAAAUGUAAAAUGAAAAAAAAGUAUUUGGGGUGUUUCGGGCUUCCUGAAGGUAAUACCUGGGUAUUAGGUUAUGGGGCUAUGGAAAUGUUCAAGGCUUUUGGUGUUAGGGUUAAAAUCACUGUCCAAAACGUUUGUAGAAAGUCUUUUCCAAGCUUUUGGAGUUAGUUACACCAAAAAAAAAAACGAAAAAUGAAAAAAAAAUAUUUGGGGUUUUCGGGCUUCCUGAAGGUACUACCCAGGUAUUAGGUUUUGGGGCUAGGGUAAGGUUUAAGGUUUUUGGUGUUAAUGUUAAAAUCACUGUCCAAAACCUUUUUAGGAACUCUUUUCCAACCUUUUGGAGUUAGUUAGACCAAAAAAAAAGAAAAAGAAAAAAUAUAUAUUUGGGGUGUUCGGGCUUCCUGAAGGUAAUACUCGAGUAUUAGGUUAUGGGGCUAGGGAAUGGUUAAAGGUUUUUGGCGUUAGGGUUAAAAUCAGUGACCAAAACCUUUUUAGGAACAUGUUUCAGACCAUUUGGAGUUGAUAACACUAAAAAAAAUGUAAAAAGAAAAAAAAAUAUUUGGGGUGUCUGGGCUUCCUGAAGGUAAUACCCGGGUAUUAGGUUAUGGGGCUUGGGAAAGGUUUAAGGUUUUUGGCAUUAGGGUUAAAAAUCACUGUCCAAAACCUUUGUAGGAACUCUUUUCCAACCUUUUGGAGUUAGUUAGACCAAAAAAAAAAGAAAAAAGAAAAAUAAAUAUUUGGGGUUUUCGGGCUUCCUGAAGGUAAUAAGUAUUAGGUUAUGGGGCUAGGGUAAGGUUUAAGGUUUUUGGCGUUAGGGUUAAAAUCACUGUCCAAAACCUUUUAAGGAACAUGUUUCAGACCUUUUUAGUUGGUUACACCAAAAAAAUGUGAAAAUAAAAAAAAAUAUUUGGGGUGUUCGGGCUUCCUGAAGGUAAAACCCGGGUAUUAGAUUAUGGGGCUAUGGUAAGGUUUAAGGUUUUUGGUGUAAGGGUUAAAAUCAGUGUCCAAAACCUUUGUAGGAACUCUUUUCCAACCUUUUGGAGUUAGUUAGACCAAAAAAAAAUUAAAAAUAAAAAAAUAUAUAUUUGGGGUGUUUGGGCUUCCUGAAGGUAAUAUUAGGUUAUUAGGUUAUGGGGCUAUGGUAAGGUUUAAGGUUUUUGGCGUUAGGGUGAAAAUCACUGUCCAAAACCUUUUUAGGAACAUGUUUCAGACCUUCUGGAGUUAGAUAAAAAAAAAUGAAAAAUGAAAAAAAAAUGUUUGCGGCGUUAGGGCUUCCUUCAGGUAAUACCCGGGUAUUAGGUUAUGGGGCUAUGGUAAGGUUUAAGGUUUUUGGUGUCAGGGUUAAAUACCCGAUAUUAAGUUUGAAAAUUGCCACAACCUCAAGUUCAACAAACACACAAACUCAAGUUCAACAAACACCAAAAAAUCAAGUUCAAACACCAAAAAAACUCAAGUUCAAAAAAACCACAAACUCAAGUUCAAACACACCACAAACUCAAGUUUAAAACGACACAAACUCAAGUUCAACAAGCACAUAAACUCAAGUUCAACCAAUAUCGUAUUCUCAAGUUUAACAAAUUCCACAUACACAAGUUAAAAAACGACACAAACUCAAAUUCAGCAAAAACCACAAACUCAAGUUCAAACAACACCUGAUUCUCAAGUUUAUAAAUUUUCACAACCUCAAGAUCUAAAAACACACAAACUCAAGUUCAACAUACAACACAAACUUAAGUCCAAACACGAGAAAAACUCAAGUUCAACCAAAACCCAAAUCUCAAGUUUAACAAUUGCCACAACCUCAAGUUCAACAAACACACAAUAACAAGUUCAACAAACAACACAAACUUAAGUUCAAACACAAAACUCAAUUGCAAAAAUGACAAAAACUCAAGUUCAACAAUCACACAAACUCAAGUUCAAACACAGCACAAACUGGAGUUCAAAUAACACACAAACUCAAGUUUAACAAACACACAAAAUCAAGUUCAGAAACACCACAAACUCAAGUUCAAACACACAACAAACUCAAGUUCAAACACGACACAUACUCAAGUUCAAAAAACGCCACAAACUCAAGUUCAAACACUAAAACAAAAUCAAGUUCGAAAACACCACAAACUCAUGUUCAAAUACAACACAAACUCAAGUUCAACAAACAAACAAACUCAAGUUCAACAAACACCACAAACUCAUGUUCAAACACAACACAAACUCAAGUUCAACAAACACACAACCUGAAGUUCAAAAACACAAGUAACUCAUGUUCAAACACAACAAAAACUCAAGUUCAACAAACACACAAACUCAAAUUCAACACACACACACUCAAAUUUAACCAACACCUGAUUAUCAGGUUUAACAAUUUCCACAACUUCUAUUUCAAAAAAUAGAGAAACUCAAGUUAAAAAAAAACACAGACUCAACUUCACCAAACACGCAAAUUCAAGUUAUAAACACCACAAACUCAAGUUCAAAUACGACACAAACUCAAGUUCAAAAACACCAAAAACUUAAGUUCAACCAAUACCCAUUUCUCAAGUUUAACAAUUUCCACAACAUCAAGUUCAAAAACAACACAGACUCAAGUUAAAAAAAACCACAAACUUAAGUUCAAAAACACCAAAUACUCAAGUUUAACAAAAACCACAAUCUAAAGUUCAACCAACACGUGAUUCUCAAGUUUAAAAAUUUUCACAUCCUCAACUUCAAAAAUUACACAAACUCAAGUUCAACAAACAACACGAACUCAUGUUCAAACACGACACAAACUCAAGUUCAACCAACAACCAAAUCUCAAGUUCAAAAACAACACUGACUCAAGUUUAAAACACCAAAUACUGAAGUUCAAAUAUGACACAAAAUCGAGUUCAACAAACACACAAACUCAAGUUCAACAAACGCGACAAACUCAAGUUCAAAUCCGAAACAAUCUCAAGUUCAAUAACACGACACAAACUCAAGUUCAAACACAACACAAACUCAAGUUCAAAAACACCAAAAAAUCAAGUUCAGACACGAUACAAACUCAAGUUCAUCAAAAACCACAAACUCAAGUUCAAACACGUAACAAACUCAAGUUCAAACACGACACAAACUAUAGUUUAAUCAACAACCAAAUCUCAGGUUAAACAAUUGCCACAACCUUAAGUUCAACAACCACACAAAAUCAAGUUCAACAAACGCCACAAACUCAAGUUCAAAUCCAAAACAAACUCAAGUUCAAUAACACGACACAAACUCAAGUUCAAACACAACACAAACUCAAGUUCAAAAACACCAAAAAAUCAAGUUCAAACAUGACACAAACUCAAGUUCAACAAACACCACAAACUCAAGUUCAAACACGAAACUCAAGUUCAAAAACACCACCAACCCAAAUUCAAAAUGACCACAAACUCAAGUUCAACAAACACACAAAAUCAAGUUCAAAAACGCCACAAACUCAAGUGCAAACACGACACAAACUCUAGUUCAACAAACACCACAAACUCAAGUUCAAACACAACACAAACUUAAGUUAAAAAAACACACAAACUCAAGUUAAAACACGACACGAACUCAAGUUCAACAAGAACCACAAACUCAGGUUCAAACACGAAACUCAAGUUCAAAAACACCACCAACUAAAGUUCAAAAAGACCACAAACUCAAGUUCAACAAACACACAAAAUCAAGUUCAAAAACACCACAAACUCAAGUGCAAACACGACACAAACUCUAGUUCAACAAACACUGCAAACUCAAGUUCAAACACAACACAAACUCAAGUUCAACAAACACACAAACUCAAGUUCAAAAACACCAAACUCAAUUGCAAACACGACACAAACUCAAGUUCAACAAACACCACAAACUCAAGUUCAAACAUGAAACACACUCAGGUUCAAACAUGACACAAACUAUAGUUCAACCAACAACCAAAUCUCAAGUUUUACAAUUGCCACAACGUCAAGUUUAACAACCACACAAACUCAAGUUCAAAAAUGAAACAAACUCAUGUUCAAAAACAUCACAAUCUUACGUUCAACAAACACAAAAACGUAAGUUCAAACACGACACAAACAAGUUCAACCAAAACAGAAAGUCAAAUUUUACAAUUGCCACAACCUCAAGUUCAACAAACUCCAUACCCUCAACUUCAAAAAAACCACAAACUCAAGUUCAAAAACACCACAAACUCAAGUUCAAACACAACACAAACUCAAGUUCAACAAAAACCACAAACUCAAGUUCAAACACGAAACUCAAGUUCAGAAACACCACCAAAUCAAGUUCAACAAAUUUCACAAACUCAAGUUCAACAAACAAACAAAAUAAAGUUCAAACACAACACAAACUCAAGUGCAAACACGACACAAACUCAAGUUCAACAAACACCACAAACUCAAGUUCAAACACGAAACUCAAGUUCAAAAACACCACCAACUCAAGUUCAAAAUGACCACAAACUCAAGUUCAACAAACACACAAAAUCAAGUUCAAAAACGCCACAAACUCAAGUGCAAACACGACACAAACUCAAGUUCAACAAACACCACAAACUCAAGUUCAAACACAACACAAACUUAAGUUAAAAAAACACAAACUCAAGUUAAAACACGACACGAACUCAAGUUCAACAAAAACCACAAACUCAGGUUCAAACACGAAACUCAAGUUCAAAAACACCACCAACUAAAGUUCAAAAAGACCACAAACUCAAGUUCAACAAAGACACAAAAUCAAGUUCAAAAACACCACAAACUCAAGUGCAAACACGACACAAACUCUAGUUCAACAAACACUACAAACUCAAGUUCAAACACAACACAAACUCAAGUUCAACAAACACACAAACUCAAGUUCAAAAACACCAAACUUAAUUGCAAACACGACACAAACUCAAGUUCAACAAACACCACAAACUCAAGUUCAAACAUGAAACACACUCAGGUUCAAACAUGACACAAACUAUAGUUCAACCAACAACCAAAUCUCAAGUUUUACAAUUGCCACAACGUCAAGUUUAACAACCACACAAACUCAAGUUCAACAACCACCACAAACUCAAGUUCAAAAAUGAAACAAACUCAUGUUCAAAAACAUCACAAACUUACGUUCAACAAACACAAAAACUUAAGUUCAAACACGACACAAACAAGUUCAACCAAAACAGAAAGUCAAGUUUUACAAUUGCCACAACCUCAAGUUCAAC